rnacentral:tRNA from 1 species
GAGGGUACAGCUCAGUGGUAGAGCACGUGCUUAGCAUGCACAAGGUCCUGGGUUCAAUCCCCAGUACCUCCA